rnacentral:rRNA from 1 species
UACGGGGGGAGCAAGCGUUGUUCGGAUUUACUGGGCGUAAAGGGCGCGUAGGCGGUCGUGACAAGUCACUUGUGAAAUCUCCGGGCUUAACUCGGAACGGUCAAGUGAUACUGUCGGACUAGAGUACAGAAGGGGCAACUGGAAUUCUCGGUGUAGCGGUGAAAUGCGUAGAUAUCGAGAGGAACACCUGCGGCGAAGGCGGCUCACUGGCCCGAUACUGACGCUGAGGCACGAAAGCGUGGGGAGCAAACAGG